UGGGUUAAGUCCCGCAACGAGCGCAACCCCUAUCCUAUGUUACCAGCGGGUAAUGCCGGGGACUCAUAGGAGACUGCCAAGGACAACUUGGAGGAAGGCGGGGAUGACGUCAAGUCAUCAUGCCCCUUAUGUCUUGGGCUACACACGUACUACAAUGGUCGGCAACAGAGGGAAGCAAAGCCGUGAGGCAGAGCAAACCCCAGAAACCCGAUCCCAGUUCGGAUUGCAGGCUGCAACUCGCCUGCAUGAAGUCGGAAUCGCUAGUAAUCGCAGGUCAGCAUACUGCGGUGAAUACGUUCCCGGGCCUUGUACACACCGCCCGUCAAGGGCGAU
rnacentral:rRNA from 1 species